UACGUAGGUGGCGAGCGUUGUCCGGAUUUACUGGGUGUAAAGGGCGAGUAGGCGGGUAAACAAGUCAGAUGUGAAAUACCGAGGCUCAACUUCGGGGCUGCAUUUGAAACUGUUUAUCUUGAGUGAUGGAGAGGCAGGCGGAAUUCCCAGUGUAGCGGUAAAAUGCAUAGAGAUUGGGAGGAACACCAGUGGCGAAGGCGGCCUGCUGGACAUCAACUGACGCUGAGGAGCGAAAGUGUGGGGAG
rnacentral:rRNA from 1 species